rnacentral:lncRNA from 1 species
GUUUUUUUUUUUUUUUUUUUUUUUUUUUUUUUUUUUUUUUUUUUUUUUUUUUUUUUUUUUUGUUUUUUUUUUUUUUUUUUUUUUUUUUUUUUUUUUUUUUUUUUUUUUUUUUUUUUUUUUUUUUUUUUUUUUUUUUUUUUUUUUUUUUUUUUUUUUUUUUUUUUUUUUUUUUUUUUAUUUUUGUGUUUUUUUUUUUUGUAUGUGU